UCGGGAAUUUUGGGCAAUGGGCGAAAGCCUGACCCAGCAACGCCGCGUGAAGGAUGAAGUAUUUCGGUAUGUAAACUUCGAAAGAAUAGGAAGAAUAAAUGACGGUACUAUUUAUAAGGUCCGGCUAACUACGUGCCAGCAGCCGCGGUAAUACGUAGGGACCAAGCGUUGUUCGGAUUUACUGGGCGUAAAGGGCGCGUAGGCGGCAAUUCAAGUCAUCUGUGAAAUCUCCGGGCUUAACUCGGAACGGUCAGAUGAUACUGCUUUGCUAGAGUGCAGAAGGGGCAAUCGGAAUUCUUGGUGUAGCGGUGAAAUGCGUAGAUAUCAAGAGGAACACCUGAGGUGAAGACGGGUUGCUGGGCUGACACUGACGCUGAGGCGCGAAAGCCAGGGGAGCAAACGGGAUUAGAUACCCCAGUAGUCCCUGAGCGGGCUGGCAAGGCGCGAU
rnacentral:rRNA from 1 species